CAGUCGCCGCGGUAAAACGAGGGGAGCUAGCGUUGUUCGGAAUUACUGGGCGUAAAGCGCGCGUAGGCGGCUUUUUAAGUCAGAGGUGAAAGCCCGGGGCUCAACCCCGGAAUUGCCUUUGAAACUGGAAAGCUAGAAUCUUGGAGAGGUCAGUGGAAUUCCGAGUGUAGAGGUGAAAUUCGUAGAUAUUCGGAAGAACACCAGUGGCGAAGGCGACUGACUGGACAAGUAUUGACGCUGAGGUGCGAAAGCGUGGGGAGCAAACAGGAUUAGAUACCCCUGUAGUCCCUGUCUCUUAUAC
rnacentral:rRNA from 1 species